UACAGAGGGUGCAAGCGUUGUUCGGAAUUAUUGGGCGUAAAGAGCUCGUAGGCGGCUUGUCGCGUCGACUGUGAAAACCCGAGGCUCAACUUCGGGCUUGCAGUCGAUACGGGCAGGCUAGAGUUCGGUAGGGGAGACUGGAAUUCCUGGUGUAGCGGUGAAAUGCGCAGAUAUCAGGAGGAACACCGAUGGCGAAGGCAGGUCUCUGGGCCGAUACUGACGCUGAGGAGCGAAAGCGUGGGGAGCGAACAGG
rnacentral:rRNA from 1 species